ensembl:lncRNA LINC01338 long intergenic non-protein coding RNA 1338
GGCUGUUGCUCUCAGAGCUAUACCCGGGAGGAACCUGCGUGUGAAUGAGACGGCUGUCAGCAAGCCUACACUCAAAGGAUUUACCCGGUGCAGAGAGCUCCAAGAGAACACCAGAGCCCCUGGUAUUCUGGUUCACUUGAAUUUGUCCUCCUGCCUAUUCCAUAUUUUUUUCACACAUAUAAUCAUUUGUUUGCAGUCCGGAAAUAUAAAACCAUUCAAGAAACGGAGGCCCAACUAUUGGCUUCCCGAUUAUUCUACCAACUCUACCAAAUCCUUGUUCUUCGUUGCACAAUUAGCUGUGAAACAGACAGAGGUUACCUACAAUAAGUGCAUGUCAUUUUGGACUAGCCAUAUUUCAAGGGCUCAGUAUGGCUAAUGGCCACUAUAUUGGACAUCGACGGUCAAACCCAUUUUACAUUCCCCUGACAACUAUGAUUGGUGUGAGGCCUAUGAUGGCCCAACUAGGCUGACAGCAAAGAUCUUUCCUGUUGGCAAAGAUCAUCUUUCUCUCUCCUGCUGGCAAGAACAAGAAAGAAUAAAGGUCUGAUCAACCCAUGAGCUUUCUUGGGAUUUAUGAGGAGAACCAGACUUUGGAUGAAACUGACAUUGAAAUGAGCAGGAUGGAGAGAAAAAUCCUAGGGGUUUGGUGACAAUACUGGGCUGCUGAUUAAACUUGGAGUUUGCCCUGACUCUGAACUUUCUAUUUAGUGAGAUAAUAAUUGUCUCAAUUGUUUAAGCUAGCUUGUGUUGCUUCCAGCUAAAAGAGUGCCAGCUAUAUACAAUGUGCAAGCUGACAUGUUGUCAUGCUCUGACACUGAUGAACACACCCCCACAAGGCUGUGAAGUAGUAGGGGAAGAACUAACCUGCAUGGAGUUGGAAGGGGGGGAAAAACAAAAUCAAACCAUAUGGAAAGCAGUUGAAUUCACUGCAUUAAAUAUACUUUUUAAAAUGUACAACAUAAUAGCCAUAUGUUUAAGUCAGAAUCAUCUGCAAAGCACGCAUGUUCACUUUCUGUUCCAGAGUCAGGCGUCUGAAUUCUGUGAGCAAAGCCUAGAGAAAAAAAACUAAGCCUAUGCCAGAUUUACAGGAAUAGUUAUCUUUAUAAAGACUAUAUGAACUGUAAUACAAAGUUACAAAGCUGAAGGCAAAGCUUUUCAAUAAAGCAAGUGGCUCUCAAAGAGAUACCUUCAAGAGUGUGGUUCUAUGUUUCCCACCUAGUGCUAAGUAAAACAUACAUUUCAAUUAGAAUUAGAAUGUACUUCAGGAAGUAAAUUAUUAAAUGACCUAGCACAUUUUGAUGUUUUUAAAAGCCCAAACUCCCAGCUGUGGAGAACAAUGAGUCUUUAAUGAUAAUUUAUUCCCCUCUUGUUCCCAUGAUUGCUAGAUAGCUGGGGGCCCUAGAUACUUAUUGGGCUCCAGGGACCCAAUGUGGGCAUUGUCAGAGGAGGAUACCAAUUAGCAGGUUUGGUUUCACAAAGAAGCAAAGAUUGCCCUGAGGUGAAAAACUCUGUCUCAGAGAAAACACCCUUGAACUUGAAUUGUCUUUUUUGCUCAUCAUUAGAAGUCAGCAAAGGAUUUAGCCUCUCCCUCACCAAUUCAUUAUCCACACUCUUCAGAAAAAAAAAAAUAAUAAUAAAAUAAAAUAUUUUCUCUUAUUAUGAAGGUGACAAUAAAGACAGUAAGCUUACCACAUGCAGAAAAGAGAGUGACCACUUUCUACUAGUUUUAAUGGCACUAUCACUGCUUCCAAAAAUUGCUUUAGGUCACUUACGGCCCCUGGAGAUAAACAUCUGAGGAUUCUGCAUAAGGUCCUUAAUGGGUGUUUUCAGGACAGCAUAAUUACCUGAGGCUUGUAAGAGUGAAAAGCAUCAGCCUCAAGGUUACUGAAUAAUGUAUGGUUGCCUGUUUGUCUAUUAGAGAGAGAUAAAGAAGAACAAAAAUCCAGUCACCAUAUGAAUCACAAUUUUAUUAUCUUUUUCAUUCAUUUAGUAUUUCAUUCAACACAUUUGAAAGCAUUUAUUAUGCACCAGGCACUGUACUAAACACUUUAGAUUCUAGUAUGAUUAAGACAGCAGAGUUCUACCCAUUGAGAUGUUCACAAUCUAGGUGGGGAAGGACAUGGAGAAUGAAGAAUAAGCAGACCAUUAAUUCCCAGAAAGGAGUAGGGUUACCUCUGGGCCCCUGCGGAGGUCAAUGAAGCUUUGUCUAUGGCCUUUAAGAGCUUUUCAUUUUUCUCAGCAGCAGGGAUCUGUCCAUUCUAUAUCUUUUUUUUUUUUUUUUCAAUCUUCAAACAUUUUAUUACCUUUCUGGCUACAUAGUGAAUUCAGUGUCUUCAUACUGAAUGGUAGAAGAUGGGAAGGAAUUUUUCUUUUGCUUGGAAGUAAGUAACCAUUUUUGGGUUGCUAAAGUCAAUAUUUAGCCCCUUCCCUGAGCACCCCCUCCGCUCAAUCCCUAUGCCCUGGCACCCAUAUAAAUAAAUAAAAUGUUUAAAAAACUAAGUCAAUAUUUAUUCAUAAAAUUAUAUCCUAGUCUUAAAUAAGUUCAGACUUCAGAGCCAGACUGUCUGGGUUUGAAACCCAAGCUCUACUCUUACCAAAUGUAUGAUGCUGACAAGUUGUCAAAUCUCUGUGUUCCUCAGUUCCUUCAUAAUUAAAAUGAAAAGUUCAUAGGAUAGUAUGGAUAUAUAAAUAUAAGUAUAGACUUAUUAUGAGUAUUGAAUAAAUGAACAUACUAGCACCUGGCAUACAAUAUUAAUGGUAUUAUAUCUCAAUACAAGGGACUUACAUUGCUACUUAGUGAUUAGAUUUGACAAUCAGUAAGGAAAAUGAAUUUAAACAUAACUGGUUCUUGAAAGUCCUUAGGAAGCAACAUUUUUGGAGACCCACAGCCCACCUCUCAAUAUGUCUAGCACUGUCAAUUUUUCCUUCAAUGUUAAAACAAAUUGUUGGUUUCUCGGAUUGAACAUUAAGUAGUAUAGCAGGUUUGCCUGUAGGGAACAUAUCACACCAAAAGGCCACAUUUUGAAACAACUUCAUGUUGAGAGGCACCAAGAACUAAGCCUGAUCUGAGAAGAACAAACUUCCUUUUCAUCUCAUGGUCAUUUAGUGAAAUGGCAGGCCAGAAUUGUGACCCAAUUUAAGUGAUUUGUUUCCUCCUCUUUGACCAACUCCUCCUUUUGUCUGUUUUUGCCAAGACACAAUAAUUGAAUUUAGAAAAAUUAAAUAUAAAGCAAUG